GACGGAGGAUGCAAGUGUUAUCCGGAAUCACUGGGCGUAAAGCGUCUGUAGGUGGUCAAAUAAGUCAACUGUUAAAUCUUGAGGCUCAACCUCAAAAUCGCAGUCGAAACUAUUAGACUAGAGUAUAGUAGGGGUAAAGGGAAUUUCCAGUGGAGCGGUGAAAUGCGUAGAGAUUGGAAAGAACACCUAUGGCGAAGGCACUUUACUGGACUAUUACUAACACUCAGAGACGAAAGCUAGGGUAGCAAAUGGG
rnacentral:rRNA from 1 species